ACGUGGCCGAAAGCUCCUACAAGGCUCAAAUAGAAAGCCCAGGGGACUACACAUUGCACGACCAUUGUAAACUUUUAUAUGGUCAGUGAAUAGUUCGAAGCCUUUUUGAGUUGAGCCGGUAAACCUCAUGAUCGAACACUCACCACACGACUCAAUUAGAAAGCCCAGGGGACUACACAUUGCACGACUACAACUAUCACGCUAAUUAAAUUGCUCUGCUCUUCAUGAAAAAGCUACCAUUAGUAGGGUGUGUAUGCUACCUAAUAAGAGCGUUUUUGUGCUUGAUUUGAGGGUAUUAAAUUUAUUGUUAGUCUCGUUAGUUUGUAUUUUGGAGCUUGCUUUUUGUUAAAAUUGAAGAUAAACCCCAUGGGUUUGAUAGUCCUAAUAGUAUCCUAUUCACUCGUGUUUACUCACUCAUAUUCUCUUUCGUUCUCUCACGUUUAUUUUUUUGUCCUAGUAAUUUAAUUCUGCAUAUUAGGCAUAUAAAAUAAAAUUAAAAAAAAAAAAAAAAAAAAAAAAAAA
rnacentral:lncRNA from 1 species